rnacentral:rRNA from 1 species
UGGGGAAUCUUGGACAAUGGGCGAAAGCCUGACCCAGCAACGCCGCGUGAAGGAUGAAGUAUUUCGGUAUGUAAACUUCGUAAGAAUAGGAAGAAUAAAUGACGGUACUAUUUGUAAGGUCCGGCUAACUACGUGCCAGCAGCCGCGGUAAUACGUAGGGACCAAGCGUUGUUCGGAUUUACUGGGCGUAAAGGGCGCGUAGGCGGCGUGGUAAGUCAUCUGUAGAAAUCUCCGAGCUUAACUCGGAACGGUCAGAUGAUACUGCUGUGCUAGAGUACAGAAGGGGCAAUCGGAAUUCUUGGUGUAGCGGUGAAAUGCGUAGAUAUCAAGAGGAACACCUGAGGUGAAGACGGGUUGCUGGGCUGAUACUGACGCUGAGGCGCGAAAGCUAGGGUAGCAAACGGGAUUAGAUACCCCUGUAGUCCCUGAGCGGGCUGGCAAGGCGCAU